GGUCACUUUGUCUCUUUAAACUGAUUUGACAGUCAGAGCCAAAACAAGUGACGUUGGUGAUUUUAGUGCUGGUUCUUAUGCAACAAUAGUUGGAGCGGAGGCUGCAAAGUUGGGUAGAGUACUCACAGUGGAGAGGGUCUUUGUAAGAACUCAAACCAAUGCAUAGAAGUCAUCUUGGGUUGAACAAGAUAUAAGUUGCAGGCCUCAGAAGCUGCAGAUGGUAAGGGCUCCCAAACGAUCAAUACGAUCGACCCUGCGACUCAUUUUAAGUUAUGUGCCUAAUCAUCUAGGGGGAAAACUGUUAUGACUACAUAUUUUGUCCAAAUUGUUAGUGUCUUAUCUGUUUAUUUUGAAACUUGUAAUAGUGUCAAUUUUUGUUAACACUACACUUUAGUUUGAGUAAGUGAUCUUUUGAUGAUAUGAUUCAAUUUGCUUAGUUUUAAAUUUA